CUCUAUCUAAAAUUUCUCCAACAUCUCUCUAAAAAUUCUUAACUCUAAAAAUUCUCCAACUUUUUAUCAUUUCACUCUUGUUUUUCUUCAUUUUGCAAGUGUUAUUUUGUCUGGCGAUUUGUACAUAGGAGUAUAAUGUAGACACCACUCUUCCUCAGCAUAAAAAUAUUCAUGGUUGGUUCGUCCGUUGUCAUGGUUGGGAGCUUAGUUUAAAUAACUCCAAGUCAGACACUACCCGGCACAACAAGUAAGUAAUA